rnacentral:rRNA from 1 species
GCGGGGAUUAGUGGCGAACGGGUGAGUAACACGUGGGCAAUCUGCCCUGCACUCCGGGACAAGCCCUGGAAACGGGGUCUAAUACCGGAUACGACACCGGGAGGCAUCUCCUCGGUGUGGAAAGCUCCGUAUACGCGGUGCAGGAUGGGCCCGCGGCCUAUCAGCUGGUUGGUGAGGUAACGGCUCACCAAGGCGACGACGGGUAGCCGGCCUGAGAGGGCGACCGGCCACACUGGGACUGAGACACGGCCCAGACUCCUACGGGAGGCAGCAGUGGGGAAUAUUGCACAAUGGGCGCAAGCCUGAUGCAGCGACGCCGCGUGAGGGAUGACGGCCUUCGGGUUGUAAACCUCUUUCAGCAGGGAAGAAGCGCAAGUGACGGUACCUGCAGAAGAAGCGCCGGCUAACUACGUGCCAGCAGCCGCGGUAAUACGUAGGGCGCGAGCGUUGUCCGGAAUUAUUGGGCGUAAAGAGCUCGUAGGCGGCCUGUCGCGUCGGUUGUGAAAGCCCGUUUGGGCUCAACCCCGGGUCUGCAGUCGAUACGGGCAGGCUAGAGUUCGGUAGGGGAGAUCGGAAUUCCUGGUGUAGCGGUGAAAUGCGCAGUAUAUCAGGAGGAACACCGGUGGCGAAGGCGGAUCUCUGGGCCGUACACUGACGCUGAGGAGCGAAAGCGUGGCGGAGCGAACAGGAUUAGAUACCCUGGUAGUCCACGCCGUAAACGGAUUGGGCACUAGGUGUGGGCGGCAUUCCACGUCGUCCGCGCCGCAGCUAAUCGCAUUAAGUGCCCCGCCUGGGUGAGUACGGCCGCAAGGCUAAAACUCAAAGCCCGUCAAUUGACGGGGGCCCGCACAAGCAGCGGAGCAUGUGGCCCAACCCC